rnacentral:ncRNA from 1 species
GCAGCGCGGGCUUGGGAGAGCCGCCGGGCUGCACAACAACCGGGACCGGCCUUUGGGAGAGGGACGUUCGCGGUUCGGAUCAGGGGAGAUCAUGGCCGAUGGAGAAUGCCCAGCUCAUCGGACUAUCACGGCAGGUGACGUUGG